GAGGGUACAGCUCAGUGGUAGAGUACAUGCUUAGCAUGCACAAGGUCCUGGGUUCAAUCCCCAGUACCUCCA
rnacentral:tRNA from 1 species